rnacentral:rRNA from 1 species
UCCGACUGUUUAACAAAAACAUAACCUUUAGCAAAACAAAUAUUAAAGGCGACGCCUGCCCAGUGAACAAUUUAACGGCCGCGGUACCCUAACCGUGCAAAGGUAGCGCAAUCACUUGUCUAUUAAUUGUAGACCCGUAUGAAAGGCAAAAUGAGGGCCUAACUGUCUCUUAUAGUAAAUCAAUAAAACUGAUCUCCCAGUCCAAAAGCUGGGAUACCAACACAAGACCAGAAGACCCUGUGAAGCUUAAACUAAACUAUUAAAACCCAUAAUAGCUACUUUCGGUUGGGGCGACCUUGGAAAAAAAAAGAACUUCCAACAGGCCAACAAGCCAAACAUAGACCCAGCACAGCUGACAAGUGAACCAAGUUACUCCAGGGAUAACAGCGCCAUCCUCCUCAAGAGCCCAUAUCAAAAGGAGGGUUUACGACCUCGAUGUUGGAUCAGGACAUCCUAAUGGUGCAGCCGCUAUUAAGGGUUCGUUUGUUCAACGAUUAACAGUCCYACGUGAUCUGAGUUCAGACCGGAGA